rnacentral:pre_miRNA from 1 species
UAGUUUUGGUCAAAGUCAAACUUUGUAAACUUUGGCCAAGUUUAUAGAAAGAAAUAUGAACAUUUACAAUAACAAAUCUAUAUGAUGUGAAAAUAUAUCCAAUAAUGAAUCUAAUGGUAUCGAUUUGUUUCUGUAUAUGUUAAUAUUUUUGUCUAUAAGCUUUGUCAAAGUUUACAAAGUUUGACUUUGACCAAAGCCAA